AGAGUUUGAUCCUGGCUCAGAGCGAACGUUAGCGGCGGGCUUAACACAUGCAAGUCGGACGAGAAAGCGUCCUUCGGGGCGUUAGUAAAGUGGCGUACGGGUGAGUAACACGUGAGUAACCUGCCCUUUGGCGUGGGACAACAGUUCGAAAGGACUGCUAAUACCGCAUAAUUCGGUGACGGCUUUGGCUGUUACCGGGAAAGGGUGGCUUCGGCUAUCGCCAGAGGAUGGGCUCGCGUCCCAUCAGCUUGUUGGUGAGGUAACGGCUUACCAAGGCUAAGACGGGUAGCUGGUCUGAGAGGAUGAUCAGCCACACUGGGACUGAGACACGGCCCAGACUCCCACGGGAGGCAGCAGUGGGGAAUAUUGGACAAUGGGCGAAAGCCUGAUCCAGCACGCCGCGUGUGUGAUGAAGGCUUUCGGGUCGUAAGCACUGUGGAGAGGGACGAAAAGUGUUGGGAAUAAUACCCUGACACCUUGACGGUACCUCUUUAGCAAGCACCGGCUAACUCCGUGCCAGCAGCCGCGGUAAUACGGAGGGUGCAAACGUUGCUCGGAAUUAUUGGGCGUAAAGCGCGUGUAGGCGGCUAAGUAAGUCGAGUGUGAAAGCCCUGGGCUUAACCCAGGAAGUGCGCUCGAAACUGUUUAGCUAGAGUACGGGAGAGGGUAGCGGAAUUCCCGGUGUAGAGGUGAAAUUCGUAGAUAUCGGGAGGAACACCAGUGGCGAAGGCGGUUACCUGGACCGAUACUGACGCUGAGACGCGAAAGCGUGGGUAGCAAACAGGAUUAGAUACCCUGGUAGUCCACGCUGUAAACGAUGAGUGCUAGGUGUCGCGGGUAUUGACCCCUGCGGUACCCAAGUUAACGCAUUAAGCACUCCGCCUGGGAAGUACGGCCGCAAGGCUAAAACUCAAAGGAAUUGACGGGGGCCCGCACAAGCGGUGGAGCAUGUGGUUUAAUUCGACCACGCGCAGAACCUUACCUGGGUUAGAAAUCUCCCGAAUCACUUGGAGACAGGUGAGUGCCUUUCGGGGAGCGGGAUGUCCAGGUGCUGCAUGGCUGUCGUCAGCUCGUGUCGUGAGAUGUUGGGUUAAGUCCCGCAACGAGCGCAACCCUUGUCUUUAGUUGCCAGCAGUUCGGCUGGGCACUCUAAAGAGACUGCCGGUGUUAAACCGGAGGAAGGUGGGGAUGACGUCAAGUCCUCAUGGCCCUUAUGCCCAGGGCUACACACGUGCUACAAUGGCGACUACAAAGGGCAGCGACACUGUGAGGUGAAGCUAAUCCCAAAAAAGUCGUCUCAGUUCGGAUAGGAGUCUGCAACUCGACUCCUUGAAGCCGGAAUCGCUAGUAAUCGCGCAUCAGAAUGGCGUGGUGAAUACGUUCCCGGGCCUUGUACACACCGCCCGUCACACC
rnacentral:rRNA from 1 species